rnacentral:lncRNA from 1 species
AUGUGUCCAAAAAUCCUAGCACAAGAUCUUGGUCCUUCCCAACCUGGGGACCAGAAGGCUUUUUGGCCUGAGAAAGAUAAGUGUGACAUCAGUUUCCUGUUGUUGGCCACCAUUAUUGUGCAAAUAGGUAAACAUAGAGACGCCUGUUUUUCUGUUGUUUUCUCUUCAGUCCACCUACAAAUCUCACCCACUCCACUACGGGCAAUUCCAACACCACAGACAGCUUCUAUAAAGAAAGAAAAACACAACCCAUUCAAGAUAACAAAAAAUGGAUGCUGCACUUCAACAAACUUGAGGGAUGGCUGAGAAAACAUGAGAUCAAAAAUAUAACUAAGACGUGAUUCCUCCAAAUGAUUUACUUGCAAAUAUCAAGUUGCAGUGAGACCUGCCAGAAUGCUGUCAGAAGAGCGAGAAAAGACUGAGAGAGGGCUGGGGAUAUAACUCAGUGGCACAAGCGCCUGCCAGGCAAGCGCAAGGUCCUAAGUUCGAUUCCCAUUACCAAAAAAAAAAAAAAAGGUUUCUAACACAAGCCGAUUCCAUCGCUGGGAUUUUGAAGCCAUUGAAGGAAGACUGAAAAUAUCCACACUGAGCAAGUUAGCUAACGACAUUAACCUCUUCUCUGAACUGGUUCCCCCUUUCAGGGUUCCAAAGUCUUGCCUUACAAACACGUUUCCCGAAGAUGUUUUCGUUUCACCUAUUAACUGCAACACACA